AUCCAUUCGCGUCAGAUCGUCGACGGAUAAUUAUUGUUGUUGAACGAGUGGCUCUUCAGCGUGCGAUGGCUAUCCUUCAAAAACAUUUAUAUAUGAUGUUUACAUUAGUGGGUGGACGGACGCAGAUAGAAUGAAAUUCUUUAAUAUUAUAUAUUUUACAUCAUCAUCGAGUGUACGGAAGAAAAAGUAAUUCUACCGAUAAUCAACGAUGAACCUUGC